GACAGAGGCCCCGAGCGUUAGGCGGAAUCACUGGGCUUAAAGCGUGUGUAGGCGGGCCCGUAAGUGUCUUGUGAAAUCCCACGGCUCAACCGUGGAACUGCUGGGCAUACUGCGGGUCUUGGGCCAACUAGGGGCAGCCGGAACAAGCGGUGGAGCGGUGAAAUGCGUAGAGAUGUGGAGGAACACCGAUGGCGAAGGCAGCCCCCUGGGCCAAUACUGACGCUCAUGCACGAAAGCGUGGGGAGCAAACAGG
rnacentral:rRNA from 1 species